rnacentral:rRNA from 1 species
UACGUAGGGUGCAAGCGUUGUCCGGAAUUAUUGGGCGUAAAGAGCUUGUAGGCGGUUUUGUCGCGUCUGCUGUGAAAUUUCGGGGGCUCAACCCCGAACUUGCAGUGGGUACGGGGCAGACUAGAGUGUGGUAGGGGAGACUGGAAUUCCUGGUGUAGCGGUGAAAUGCGCAGAUAUCAGGAGGAACACCGAUGGCGAAGGCAGGUCUCUGGGCCACUACUGACGCUGAGAAGCGAAAGCAUGGGGAGCGAACAGG